UCUCUAUAGGCUUGGAAUAACACGCAAAAAGAUACAGAGAAUUGCCCUUCAGCGAAGAAACGAUAUUGGGCUACAAUUCAUGGCCGAAAUCAGCCUUUUUGACCCAAACCUGCUCGUUUUCCUCGAUGAAACAGGCAUUGAUAAACGAAUUGCUCGGCAAUAUGGAUAUAGUGCUCGUGGGAUACCGCCC